GAGUGGCGAAGGGAGAGUAAUGCAUAGAUUACCAACCCUUUGCUCUGGGAUAACUGGGGGAAACCUCAGCUAAAACCGGAUGGGCUCACGAUAGCGAUGCUUUUGUGAGUAAAUGGGGCCUCUUAACAAUGCUCCAGGCAGAGGACGGGUCUAUGUCCUAUCAGCUUGUUGGUGGGGUAAUGGCCUACCAAAUCUCACUUCGGUGGGGGGCGAUGACGGGUAGCCGGCCUGAGAGGGUGACCGGCCUCACUGGGACUGAGACACUGCCCAGACUCCUACGGGAGGCUGCAGUCGAGAAUCUUCCGCAAUGGGGGCAACCCUGACGGAGCGACGCCGCGUGUAGGAUGAAGGCCUUCGGGUUGUAAACUACUGUCACAGGUUAAGAAACGAUUGGGUGUUAAUAGCAUCCAGUCUUGACGAAGGCCUGAAAGGAAGCCACGGCUAACUUCGUGCCAGCAGCCGCGGUAAGACGAAGGUGGCGACCGUUGUUCGGAAUCACUGGGCAUAAAGAGCACGUAGGCGGAAAAGUCAGUCGGGUGUGAAAUCCCUCGGCCCAACCGAGGAACUGCGCCCGAUACUGCUUUUCUUGAGGGUUGGAGAGGAACGUGGAAUCCCUGGUGGAGCGGUGAAAUGCGUUGAUAUCAGGGGGAACACCGGCGGCGAAGGCGACGUUCUGGCCAAUUCCUGACGCUGAGGUGCGAAGCUAGGGUAGCACACGGGAUUAGAUACCCCGGUAGUCCUAGUCGUAAACGAUGGGUACUAGGUAGAGGGGGUCCAAUGGCCUCUUUGCUGGAGAUAAUUUAUUAUAAUACCCCCCCCUGGGGGAGGAUAGG
rnacentral:rRNA from 1 species